UCCCAAGAAGGACCAGGCCAGUGAGGGCAAA
rnacentral:piRNA from 1 species